UACGAAGGGGGCUAGCGUUGCUCGGAAUUAUUGGGCGUAAAGCGUACGUAGGCGGUCCAGCAAGUCGGGUGUGAAAGCCCUCGGCUUAACCGAGGAAGUGCAUUCGAAACUACUGGACUUGAAUACUGGAGAGGAUCGCGGAAUUCCCGGUGUAGAGGUGAAAUUCGUAGAUAUCGGGAGGAACACCAGUGGCGAAGGCGGCGAUCUGGACAGAUAUUGACGCUGAUGUACGAAAGCGUGGGGAGCAAACAGG
rnacentral:rRNA from 1 species